rnacentral:rRNA from 1 species
UACGAAGGGGGCUAGCGUUGUUCGGAAUUACUGGGCGUAAAGCGCGCGCAGGCGGUCUUCCAAGUCAGUGGUGAAAGCCCGGAGCUCAACUCCGGAACUGCCAUUGAAACUGUUAGACUUGAGGAUGAGAGAGGUGAGUGGAAUUCCCAGUGUAGAGGUGAAAUUCGUAGAUAUUGGGAAGAACACCGGUGGCGAAGGCGGCUCACUGGACCACAACUGACGCUGAGGCGCGAAAGCUAGGGGAGCAAACAGGG